rnacentral:lncRNA from 1 species
GGAGAUUUCUGGGGCUUUGGAGGGAAUCGUGAGCGGGCGGGAGGAGGCCGGGGACCACACAGAGAAUAACUUGUCUGACUACCAGUAUUCUUGGAUGCAGAAGUGCUGAAGAUGAGCACACACACGUACGGAGAAUUUCUGGAGAAUUCAGCUGCUCAGAACAAGAACUGAGAUCCAGAGAGAUGAUGACUUUGCCCAUAGACCAAACAAAGAAAUACAUGUUUCAGUCCUGUGUCCUCCUGCUAUGUGUGUCCGGAAUUGGUGGGUUCUUGGUCUCACUGACUUCAAGAAUGAAGCUGCGGACCCUCGCGGACCGUGUGUGAAUGCCUGCUCUGUGAGCCCUCAGAAUCUACUGGCUGAAUGAGUGCGUGGAGGAAAUGUGCUCAGAGCUGCUGUGUGUCAUCCUGUGUUUGAAGUGCUCCUGCAGCUAUCAUUCAUCCAGUUAAGAAUUUGAAGAAGUGUGUGCACAAAGGAUGUACCAGACUAUUAAUAUUGGUGACCAUGGGCUAGGGAGUAUGUUCUUGAUAAAUUUACAAAAUCUUCUGAUCAACUAUAGACUUUAAAAAUAUAACAUCAAUUUUUUAAUAAAAUACUCUCUCUCUCUCUCUCUCUCUCUCUCUAUAUAUAUAUAUAUAUAUAUAU